rnacentral:rRNA from 1 species
AUGGCACCCUGCAGCAGAGCACCACGGCGACCAUCACCUGCGCCUCCCCGAGCAGGAACUCCGCCUUCCCUGCACCCGUGCUUCGCUGACCAGAGGCGUCGUCCUCGACCGUCGCCAGCACCGCUGCCCCGCCUACGUCCUCGACCUCCUACCUCCACGGGCUGUCAAGUUUCGGGAGCUGCUGCUGCUGUUUUGCUUUUGCUACUGCAUCUCCGGCCAUCUGCAGGCGAUCGCGCCCGGUGCCUGCGAUGCCUGCUGCUGCCGCUGUUUUCUUUCCCUUUCGAACGAAUGAGCAGCGCCUUCGGGGUUUUUUGCAAAGUUCUUUUCCAUAGGCCUCUCCAAGACCAGGAUACGCCAAGAACCGUUCGUGGUUUUCAUCAAGUUCGAGCGACGUUGAAUGAGGGUUUCUGCCUUGCUCAUUUUGGGACGCGACAAGUUCCUCUUCGAAAGUACGUCUACAUGAUGACCUGA